rnacentral:rRNA from 1 species
GGGGGCGGGUGCUAUACUGCAGUCGAACGCUUUUUCUUUCACCGGAGCUUGCUCCACCGAAAGAAAAAGAGUGGCGAACGGGUGAGUAACACGUGGGUAACCUGCCCAUCAGAAGGGGAUAACACUUGGAAACAGGUGCUAAUACCGUAUAACACUAUUUUCCGCAUGGAAGAAAGUUGAAAGGCGCUUUUGCGUCACUGAUGGAUGGACCCGCGGUGCAUUAGCUAGUUGGUGAGGUAACGGCUCACCAAGGCCACGAUGCAUAGCCGACCUGAGAGGGUGAUCGGCCACACUGGGACUGAGACACGGCCCAGACUCCUACGGGAGGCAGCAGUAGGGAAUCUUCGGCAAUGGACGAAAGUCUGACCGAGCAACGCCGCGUGAGUGAAGAAGGUUUUCGGAUCGUAAAACUCUGUUGUUAGAGAAGAACAAGGAUGAGAGUAGAACGUUCAUCCCUUGACGGUAUCUAACCAGAAAGCCACGGCUAACUACGUGCCAGCAGCCGCGGUAAUACGUAGGUGGCAAGCGUUGUCCGGAUUUAUUGGGCGUAAAGCGAGCGCAGGCGGUUUCUUAAGUCUGAUGUGAAAGCCCCCGGCUCAA